rnacentral:sRNA from 1 species
AUAAAGAGAGAGGGCAAAGAGGCAGCAAGAGAUUUGUCCUGGGGAUCCAGAAACCCAUGAUACCCUACUGAACACCAAAUCCCCUGGAAGCCCACAGAGACAGAGACAGCAAGAGAAGCAGAGAUAAAUACAGUCACGCCAGGAGCGCGCUCUCUCUCUCUCUCUCCCUUCCCUCCCUCCCUCUCUCUCUGCCUGUCCUAGUCCUCUAGUCCUCAAAUUCCCAGUCCCCUGCACCCCUUCCUGGGACACUAUGUUGUUCUCCGCCCUCCUGCUGGAGGUGAUUUGGAUCCUGGCUGCUGAUGGGGGUCAACACUGGACAUAUGAGGGUGAGUAGAUCUCGAGGCCUCCCGACAACCCUUUCACACUGGGACCUCCUCACCUGGCAGGAAGACACACUGUGCGGCCCCACGGAUAUGACCUUCCUGGCACCGAGCCUUUGGACCUGCACAACAAUGGCCACACAGUGCAACUCUCUCUGCCCUCUACCCUGUAUCUGGGUGGACUUCCCCGAAAAUAUGUAGCUGCCCAACUCCACCUGCACUGGGGUCAGAAAGGAUCCCCAGAGGGGUCAGAACACCAGAUCAACAGCGAAGCCACAGUUGCAGAGCUCCACAUUGUACAUUAUGACUCUGAUUCCUAUGACAGCUUGAGUGAGGCUGCUGAGAGGCCUCAGGGCCUGGCUGUCCUAGGCAUCCUAAUUGAGGUGGGUGAGACUAAGAAUAUAGCUUAUGAACACAUUCUGAGUCACUUGCAUGAAGUCAGGCAUAAAGGUGAGCCUUAAAAAUCUAUAGCAGGAAGUAAGAUUAGACUUUCAAAAAGUAUCCUUAAAAGCCUUGGGAUGAAGCAAUUACAUAGAGCCAAGGAAUUUUGCUUCUGGGAGCCCUAUCUCGGUAAGCUAGGGCACACUGAAAGGAAGAUGAGUCCCAGUCUGUUCUCCCCAGAUCAGAAGACCUCAGUGCCUCCCUUCAACCUGAGAGAGCUGCUCCCCCCACAGCUGGGGCAGUACUUCCGCUACAAUGGCUCGCUCACAACUCCCCCUUGCUACCAGAGUGUGCUCUGGACAGUCUUCUAUAGAAGGUCCCAGAUUUCAAUGGAACAGGUAAGUGGUGAAGAAACGAGGUGAGGUGAGAUACAGUUCUAACUUCAGACCCCUUCCCACUCCCCAAAGUAACACCUCUCCCACGCUUCUGCUCCUCAGCUGGAAAAGCUUCAGGGGACAUUGUUCUCCACAGAAGAGGAGCCCUCUAAGCUUCUGAUACAGAACUACCGAGCCCCUCAGCCUCUCAAUCAGCGCAUGGUCUUUGCUUCUUUCAUCCAGGCAGGAUCCUCGUAUACCACAGGUGAAAUGCUGAGUCUAGGUGUAGGAAUCUUGGUUGGC